UGGGGAAUAUUGGACAAUGGGGGGAACCCUGAUCCAGCCAUACCGCGUGUGUGAAGAAGGCCUUAUGGUUGUAAAGCACUUUAAGCGAGGAGGAGGGUACUGGUAUUAAUACUACCAGGUACUGGACGUUACUCGCAGAAUAAGCACCGGCUAACUCUGUGCCAGCAGCCGCGGUAAUACAGAGGGUGCGAGCGUUAAUCGGAUUUACUGGGCGUAAAGCGUGCGUAGGCGGCUAAUUGAGUCGGAUGUGAAAUCCCCGAGCUUAACUUGGGAAUUGCAUUCGAUACUGGUUAGCUAGAGUGUGGGAGAGGAUGGUAGAAUUCCAGGUGUAGCGGUGAAAUGCGUAGAGAUCUGGAGGAAUACCGAUGGCGAAGGCAGCCAUCUGGCCUAACACUGACGCUGAGGUACGAAAGCAUGGGGAGCAAACAGG
rnacentral:rRNA from 1 species